rnacentral:lncRNA from 1 species
CUCUCUUGUUUCUCUCUCUCUAUUUUGGAGACUUUAUUCUUCUUUCUUCUUGGUUUUUGGAAUCUGGAGAUUAUUAUUCCUUUGUAUGAUUCUUGUAAAUCUCGUGUGUUUCAGUAACCAGUAGACAGGAUGUGUAGUCAAUCUAUUGUAUUUGUGUAGUUGUGGUCGGUUUUGUUAGGAAGCAGAUUGUAGUGUCUAGAUUUGAGAUCCGUUUGGAUCGAUGAUUGAUCUGGUUGUUCUCUUUAGUUCUAUGUACUGUACUCUCUCUGGGAGGUAGAAUUGCACUAGUGGAUUGGGCUGACUCUGAGCCCCCUAGAUUAAGCCAUUCGAGCCGAACUGGGUGAACAUUUUCUGUGUACCUUUAUUUUCUUGUACUUUGUGUUUGUGUUUGUGUUGCUUGUGUUGUUCUUGAUUUUGGGUUAAAAUACCCUACAAAUCUGGUAUCAGAGCUAUUAAAGGCUUGAGGUAAGACAUAUUUGAAUUUAGUUUAAUUUCUAGUCGUUUUAACGUGUUUACUUCACUUGUGCAGUAACAAGAAAGUGAAAUAAAUCGAUUCUUGGAAGCUAGGGUUUGGAUUUACAUUUGCAGAAAUCGGAUCUGCAUUUGUUAAAUACUGUAAUACACAAUAUUUGGUGAGAUCUUUUACAAUUAAACUACAGUAGUCAAUUUGCAUGAUAUAAAUGAUAUAUGUGAAUUCAGUGAUGCUAUUGUCAUUUGAUUAUUCAAAGAAAUUGGAUAUAGUGUUUAAUUGUGAUAGAAGCACGUUUUAGGAAAUUUCAUUUUUCUG